rnacentral:rRNA from 1 species
UACGAAGGGGGCUAGCGUUGCUCGGAAUCACUGGGCGUAAAGCGCACGUAGGCGGAUUGUUAAGUCAGGGGUGAAAUCCUGGAGCUCAACUCCAGAACUGCCUUUGAUACUGGCGAUCUUGAGUCCGGGAGAGGUGAGUGGAACUGCGAGUGUAGAGGUGAAAUUCGUAGAUAUUCGCAAGAACACCAGUGGCGAAGGCGGCUCACUGGCCCGGUAUGA